UUUUGGUUACCGGAUUCUCUUCCGGUCUUGUCUUCCGUAAGUCGGGCUUCUGUUUCCGGAAAGAAGUGGCUCUCUUAGCACUGACUUUGCCGGCUGUUGACUCCGGGAAGCGGUGGCUCCCUUAGCUCUGACUUCGCCGGCUUUUGAACUAGUGGCUGUUGAAGACAUAAAGUAAAGAAGCAAAGCGUAGAGCUCAAACUUACGAAACUCAUGGUGUAAAGGAUGCUUACAUAAUAUCUCUCAAUGCCUCUGAGGCUAUUGACGCCACUAAGAAAGGAAGCCUUGCUAGGUUUAUAAAUCAUUCAUGUAAACCAAACUGUGAGACGAGGAAGUGGAAUGUUCUUGGAGAAGUCAGAGUUGGGAUCUUUGCCAAAGAGAGCAUAUCUCCAAGGACUGAGCUGGCUUAUGACUAUAACUUUGAGUGGUACGGUGGAACCAAAGUCCGUUGUCUCU